GGGUAGGGUGGCCGAGUAGGUGGCGAGUUGUAGCCUCGUGUACGGGUCAAGCGCCCCCCAACCA
rnacentral:tRNA from 1 species